rnacentral:tRNA from 1 species
GCAGCUCAGUUGGUAGAGCAUGAGACUGAUAAUGUCAGGGUUCGAGCCCCACAUUGGACA